AGUCCACUUAAGCCUUUUUGCUUAGUAUUGGGAGUCUACUUUUGGCGGGAGCUACCCUGUAGCCCACCCGCAGUGUAGUUCCUCAAAGACAGCGGCGGAGUCGCGGUUUUGCUCUGAGCUUAGUAAUUUUUUCUAGCUUUCGAGCGGUCGCUGCCCCAUUGCCGUAAAACACCCCCCAUUUUAAU
rnacentral:misc_RNA from 1 species